rnacentral:lncRNA from 1 species
CCUAGUCAAAGUUUUAUGUAGCAACAUAUCCAUUCCAUAAAACAUUCCUCCAAAGAGGCAUUUUAGCCAACACAGCCAUUUCUCAUGGCAUUAAAUGUACAUGCAUAUAUAUUUACAUUAUAUGUAUAUCAUCAUCAGAUUAGUUUGUUGGUAUUGAUGCUUGUGCAUAUGUGUGUAUAAACAUAUCAUAUACAUACAGAAAUAUAUUUUAUAUAGAUAAAGUAUAUAACUCUAUAGAUAAGGUAUAUAACUCUAUCUAUACGGUCCUAAGAAACAUGUAGCCUCAUAUGAAGGCCACAGAAUUUCCCUGCUAGAAUUAGAUCUCAGUUUUGAUAAAGACUCAUUCUACUCAAAUUAUACACGGAAGCCUAAAUCUGCAUAAGAAGCACAAGGAAUUCCCUUCAGUCCUGCCAGUCUCUGUUCUGACACAGAUUUAUGGAAUUCUCAGGCUCUGGCAUUGUGAUGCUCCACUGUACAUUUUAAUGAUUCUCUGGUGGCUGGAACCCAGCAGUAACAAUUCAAGUCAGUAAGUGGGGCGGCUCUACUCUAAACUUCAUAGAACAGGUCAGAGAAGCAUACUAAAGAAAGACAAAAUUUUGCUUGGUGGUGCAUUCUGCUAUGCACCUGUCUAGAGGACAAAAAGAAAAACCUUAUAUCACAUCUUUCAAGAGAAGACCAGAAUGGUUUGUGAUUCAGGAGUUGUUCGUACACUCUUCUCUUUCAGAGAGGUGAUUUUCUUCAAGCCAGAAGAAGGUAUGAAUUCCUCAAAAAGGAAGAGAGGCAGACACUUCUCCUCAGGGAUGAGAUUAAGAUCACUAUUUGCAUCUGAAAAUCCUAAUUUUCCCUCAGUUGAAAGAAAUAUAACAGGUCCAUUAAGUACCUACAUCAUGAAAAAUAAUUAAAAAUUAUAUUAAUGAUUUCAAGAUUGUCUCCUUUGCUACAGAGAAACACACUGACAUGUACAUUCAGACCAGAUAAACACACCUUUAGUUAGGUGUUUAACACUAAAGUAGUGUGUCCCUUGGGUAUUAGUCCCUGGUUUAAGUGGGUUUAUUUCUGACAAGAUACUGCAUACUCUUAUUCAAAAUGACCUCUUUUCUAACACAAAUAGAAUGAAGAAAGAGAGGGGGAGAAAAGGAAAAGGUGACUGCUCUUGAAGAUCACUAGACCUCCUCAGACAUAUUCAAAUCAGAAGAGUGGUGCAAUAAAUAUUGAAAUAUUUGAUGAGGAAAAAAUGAU